rnacentral:misc_RNA from 1 species
CAUCCUUGGGAAGGCCAUGAUGACCAUGGCCAUGAACACUAGAAAUUGCAUGGAGAGCCACAGAUGAAAGCAUAAAUGUUUUGCUGGUUGGGCAUAGGCACUGAAUGUUAUUUGGACAGCUUUGGUUAGUUCUUCUAUUCAAUAAAGUGCUUGUCAACGAGACAUUGUCAUAGGUUUAAUGUGAUGAAUACAACUACAUUCGAAUGUGUUCAUGGCCAUGGUCAUCAU